UCAUCUUUCCUUAACUUAACUCUAGCCCAUCCACUAUCUUUGAUUCCUCUGUAAAAAGGGAGCGCACAUAGCUAAGUGUCUUCUUUCUGAGCUGCAAUUCUUAGAAAUUCCUUUAUUUAGCACUGGGGAUUGGGAGCGUGAGUUCUUCACAUUGCAUCCGAAUGCACACUCCGAGUCCUCCACUGAAGGAGAAAUGGGGGGAAAAAAAAAAAGGAGAAAAACCAAGAAAAUGUGUACACAUGAGGAAAGUGUGUAAAAGAAAGAAUGAAAAGAGGGAGACGGAGAGGGAAAGAGUAAUCGUAUAGUGUCUAUCUAGUACUUAACUUAAGGAAAUAUGAGUCUGGUUGAAGAUGAAAGAGACUUAAUCUCAAAUGCCUCAAAUGCCUCUCUCCUCUCCUAUUUCUCCUCUCAGUGCCUGCUGUCCACUGGGACUGGCCCAUUCUACAACGUUGGAGUGCAUUAUGUAAUCCCCUCCAAGUCUGCACACCCUGCAGUAAUGGUUUAAUUAGGGGAGGGGAAGAAGGCAUAAUGGCAUCCCACCUGCAUCACUCUAAAACACUCACCAAAGCAGUCCGUAGUCCACUACUUGUGACCUAUGGUUUUUGUAAUUUUUGGGCCGUCAACUUUUAAGGUUGCUUGAUCCAAGAGGAAAUGUAGAGUGAACAGGGAUUGUACCUCAUGCAGCCUUUGGCCUCAACCUACUAAUUCCUCUUCCCCAUAACAGACUCCCCACCCCACCCAGUCCCCUGCCAGCCAGCCAGCCAGUGCGGGCGUGCUCAGUCUGUCAACACUUCCUCAGCACUUGGAGUGUUUGAAUGGAAACAUGAGGAACAACACAGGCUUGGUCAGAGCUGCCCUCAGAAACAGGGUUAAAUGAGGCUAUAGAGUAUGACGUAACUGGGCUCGCUGCACUCAGUGCUUUUACUACCUGACUGAACUUUAAUACACAUUUACUUCCAUUCCAGUGAAUGUUUUCUAAUGGUUAAGAAAGACUGUUUGUACUUAAAACACUGCAGGUUUACUCUAGACACUCGGUGAUUCUUAUUGCAUAAGAAGCAUGAUGAUAGUAGUAACAAGGUAUUACAAACUGUUGCUUUUAAUUCCAAACAGCAAAGCUGGACUUUAUUUCGGAGUAAGUUUAAAAUGGCUUUGACCUUUAUUCUUCAGGGUUUUGAAGACUCUCUUGGGUUCUUCAUAGGGUUGUUUACGUCUAGGUGUUAGUGAUGCAGCAAUAAUUCGCUACUUCGCUCAUAGGUAUGAUAUGAGAUGGUUGCUUAAUGACAACCUGAAGUCAACAAUGAAAUGUCUUUAUUUAACACAAGAAAGAAAACAAAAGUGUUUUAUUUUCAUGUGAUACAUA